rnacentral:rRNA from 1 species
UACGGAGGGCGCAAGCGUUGCUCGGAAUUACUGGGCGUAAAGCGCGUGCAGGCGGUCGGGCAAGUCGGUUGUGAAAUCCCCAGGCUCAACCUGGGAACUGCAUCCGAAACUGCUCGGCUAGAGUCCCGGAGGGGGAGGCGGAACUCCCAGUGUAGGGGUGAAAUCCGUAGAUAUUGGGAAGAACACCGGCGGCGAAAGCGGCCUCCUGGACGGUGACUGACGCUGAGACGCGAAAGCGUGGGGAGCAAACAGG